rnacentral:lncRNA from 1 species
AUGGUUCUGUUGCCACAGUGAUUUCUUGAGAGUCAAGUCCCCAACAAGUAAAUACCAGAGGCAUGGUCCAGCUUAGAGGAGAUGAAAGGCAGUAGAAAACUCCGUCAUCAGGCUCUAUGGAACCUGGGAGACACCAGACACGGAAGUCUUGAUAAGCCACAGUGGCUCAGAGUUUGAGAAGCAGAGAUCUACAGUUUGCCCUUUAGCACACAGGAGAGGUGAGAGUUAUAAACUCCAUCACUAAGCACUAGGCUCGGAGGACAUCACAGAAGACGGGCAGGAGGAGCCGGGUGAUGGAGAGGAGCAUUGUAAGUGCUGAGGUGGCCACCACAUUGUGAACUCCCCCCUGGGAAGGUUUUCUGCAUGAGUUCUGACCAACAAGAUCCAUCAAUGUUCCAGCAGGCAACACUAACUGGACUCAAUGGCUUACAAAAGAGAAAAUGGACAUGAAGACCUAAAGGAUAAUCCUGAGGCUGAAAUCUCACUUAUAAAGCAGCCCAAAGUGGAUCUGAGCACAGAGCUAACAGUGAAGAUUUGUCUUAGCAUUUGCACCCACAGGUAGCACCGAAGAUCCAGAAACAAAACGUCGGUGGUUCUAAGAUGCACAGGUUUAAUUGAUAUGGGAAGACCCAGGGGAUUCUGGUGCCUGUGCGUGGAAAGUGGAGACCUAAUAGAAGUGUGCAAGCAUUCAUUGUUCUCUUUUCCUGACUGUAGAUACAAAGUGAGCGGCAAGCUUCUGCUGCCUUGAUUUCCCCGCUAUGAUGGACUAUGCCUUGAACUACAAGCUAAAAUUGGCCCUUUCUCCCCUAAGUUGCUUUUGUCUGAGCACUUUAUUGAAGCAACAGAAGAGAAAUUAAGCCUGUCGCCUUGUCUGAUCUUCCUGUCCCUUCUGUAUUGGUCUUAAAGACUGGUGACUUUUCAGC